GACGAACGCUGGCGGCGUGCUUAACACAUGCAAGUCGAACGGAAAGGCCCUGCUCUUGUGGGGUGCUCGAGUGGCGAACGGGUGAGUAACACGUGAGUAACCUGCCCUUGACUUUGGGAUAACUCCAGGAAACUGGGGCUAAUACCGGAUAGGAGCUCCUGCUGCAUGGGGGGGGUUGGAAAGUUUCGGCGGUUGGGGCUGGACUCGCGGCUUAUCAGCUUGUUGGUGGGGUAGUGGCUUACCAAGGCUUUGACGGGUAGCCGGCCUGAGAGGGUGACCGGCCACAUUGGGCCUAAGAUACGGCGCAGACGCGUACGGGAGGCAGCAGUGGGGAAUAUUGCACAAUAGGCGGAAGCCAGAUGCAGCAACGCCGCGUGCGGGAUGACGGCCUUCGGGUUGUGAACCGCUGUCGCCGGUAAUGAAGCGUUAGUGACGGUAAUGGGUAAAGAAGCACCGGCUAACUACGUG
rnacentral:rRNA from 1 species